rnacentral:rRNA from 1 species
GGGUUGUGAGGUUAAGCGACUAAGCGUACACGGUGGAUGCCCUGGCAGUCAGAGGCGAUGAAGGACGUGCUAAUCUGCGAUAAGCGUCGGUAAGGUGAUAUGAACCGUUAUAACCGGCGAUUUCCGAAUGGGGAAACCCAGUGUGUUUCGACACACUAUCAUUAACUGAAUCCAUAGGUUAAUGAGGCGAACCGGGGGAACUGAAACAUCUAAGUACCCCGAGGAAAAGAAAUCAACCGAGAUUCCCCCAGUAGCGGCGAGCGAACGGGGAGGAGCCCAGAGCCUGAAUCAGUGUGUGUGUUAGUGGAAGCGUCUGGAAAGGCGCGCGAUACAGGGUGACAGCCCCGUACACAAAAAUGCACAUGCUGUGAGCUCGAUGAGUAGGGCGGGACACGUGGUAUCCUGUCUGAAUAUGGGGGGACCAUCCUCCAAGGCUAAAUACUCCUGACUGACCGAUAGUGAACCAGUACCGUGAGGGAAAGGCGAAAAGAACCCCGGCGAGGGGAGUGAAAAAGAACCUGAAACCGUGUACGUACAAGCAGUGGGAGCACGCUUAGGCGUGUGACUGCGUACCUUUUGUAUAAUGGGUCAGCGACUUAUAUUCUGUAGCAAGGUUAACCGAAUAGGGGAGCCGAAGGGAAACCGAGUCUUAACUGGGCGUUAAGUUGCAGGGUAUAGACCCGAAACCCGGUGAUCUAGCCAUGGGCAGGUUGAAGGUUGGGUAACACUAACUGGAGGACCGAACCGACUAAUGUUGAAAAAUUAGCGGAUGACUUGUGGCUGGGGUGAAAGGCCAAUCAAACCGGGAGAUAGCUGGUUCUCCCCGAAAGCUAUUUAGGUAGCGCCUCGUGAAUUCAUCUCCGGGGGUAGAGCACUGUUUCGGCAAGGGGGUCAUCCCGACUUACCAACCCGAUGCAAACUGCGAAUACCGGAGAAUGUUAUCACGGGAGACACACGGCGGGUGCUAACGUCCGUCGUGAAGAGGGAAACAACCCAGACCGCCAGCUAAGGUCCCAAAGUCAUGGUUAAGUGGGAAACGAUGUGGGAAGGCCCAGACAGCCGGAUGUUGGCUUAGAAGCAGCCAUCAUUUAAAGAAAGCGUAAUAGCUCACUGGUCGAGUCGGCCUGCGCGGAAGAUGUAACGGGCUAAACCAUGCACCGAAGCUGCGGCAGCGACGCUUAUGCGUUGUUGGGUAGGGGAGCGUUCUGUAAGCCUGUGAAGGUGUGCUGUGAGGCAUGCUGGAGGUAUCAGAAGUGCGAAUGCUGACAUAAGUAACGAUAAAGCGGGUGAAAAGCCCGCUCGCCGGAAGACCAAGGGUUCCUGUCCAACGUUAAUCGGGGCAGGGUGAGUCGACCCCAAGGCGAGGCCGAAAGGCGUAGUCGAUGGGAAACAGGUUAAUAUUCCUGUACUUGGUGUUACUGCGAAGGGGACGGAGAAGGCUAUGUUGGCCGGGCGACGGUUGUCCCGGUUUAAGCGUGUAGGCUGGUUUUCCGUGCAAAUCCGGAAAAUCAAGGCUGAGGCGUGAUGACGAGGCACUACGGUGCUGAAGCAACAAAUGCCCUGCUUCCGGGAAAAGCCUCUAAGCAUCAGGUAACAUCAAAUCGUACCCCAAACCGACACAGGUGGUCAGGUAGAGAAUACCAAGGCGCUUGAGAGAACUCGGGUGAAGGAACUAGGCAAAAUGGUGCCGUAACUUCGGGAGAAGGCACGCUGAUAUGUAGGUGAAGUCCCUCGCGGAUGGAGCUGAAAUCAGUCGAAGAUACCAGCUGGCUGCAACUGUUUAUUAAAAACACAGCACUGUGCAAACACGAAAGUGGACGUAUACGGUGUGACGCCUGCCCGGUGCCGGAAGGUUAAUUGAUGGGGUCAGCGCAAGCGAAGCUCUUGAUCGAAGCCCCGGUAAACGGCGGCCGUAACUAUAACGGUCCUAAGGUAGCGAAAUUCCUUGUCGGGUAAGUUCCGACCUGCACGAAUGGCGUAAUGAUGGCCAGGCUGUCUCCACCCGAGACUCAGUGAAAUUGAACUCGCUGUGAAGAUGCAGUGUACCCGCGGCAAGACGGAAAGACCCCGUGAACCUUUACUAUAGCUUGACACUGAACAUUGAGCCUUGAUGUGUAGGAUAGGUGGGAGGCUUAGAAGUGUGGACGCCAGUCUGCAUGGAGCCGACCUUGAAAUACCACCCUUUAAUGUUUGAUGUUCUAACGUUGACCCGUAAUCCGGGUUGCGGACAGUGUCUGGUGGGUAGUUUGAUUGGGCGGUCUCCUCCUAAAGAGUAACGGAGGAGCACGAAGGUUGGCUAAUCCUGGUCGGACAUCAGGAGGUUAGUGCAAUGGCAUAAGCCAGCUUGACUGCGAGCGUGACGGCGCGAGCAGGUGCGAAAGCAGGUCAUAGUGAUCCGGUGGUUCUGAAUGGAAGGGCCAUCGCUCAACGGAUAAAAGGUACUCCGGGGAUAACAGGCUGAUACCGCCCAAGAGUUCAUAUCGACGGCGGUGUUUGGCACCUCGAUGUCGGCUCAUCACAUCCUGGGGCUGAAGUAGGUCCCAAGGGUAUGGCUGUUCGCCAUUUAAAGUGGUACGCGAGCUGGGUUUAGAACGUCGUGAGACAGUUCGGUCCCUAUCUGCCGUGGGCGCUGGAGAACUGAGGGGGGCUGCUCCUAGUACGAGAGGACCGGAGUGGACGCAUCACUGGUGUUCGGGUUGUCAUGCCAAUGGCACUGCCCGGUAGCUAAAUGCGGAAGAGAUAAGUGCUGAAAGCAUCUAAGCACGAAACUUGCCCCGAGAUGAGUUCUCCCUGACUCCUUGAGAGUCCUGAAGGAACGUUGAAGACGACGACGUUGAUAGGCCGGGUGUGUAAGCGCAGCGAUGCGUUGAGCUAACCGGUACUAAUGAACCGUGAGGCUUAACCUUACAACGCCGAAGGUGUUU